rnacentral:rRNA from 1 species
AUUGAACGCUGGCGGCAGGCCUAACACAUGCAAGUCGAACGAGCGGCGGACGGGUGAGUAAUGUCUGGGAAACUGCCUGAUGGAGGGGGAUAACUACUGGAAACGGUAGCUAAUACCGCAUACCAUCGGAUGUGCCCAGAUGGGAUUAGCUAGUAGGUGGGGGAAAGGCUCACCCAGGCGACGAUCCCUAGCUGGUCUGAGAGGAUGACCCGACCCACUGGAACGUAGAUCCGGCCCCGAACCCUACGGGAGGACGAAGGGGGGAAUUUUGCACAAUGUGGGCAAUCCUGCUGCAGCCAUGCCGCCGGUUUGUAGACGGCUUUAGGUUUUUAAACUCCUUUCAACGAGGAGGCGUUACCCGAAUAAGAAGCCACGGCUAACUCCGUGCCCGCCGCCGCGGUAAUAC